rnacentral:tRNA from 1 species
CAAGAGCUUAUUUCACUCCCCUAACUA